UACGAAGGGUGCAAGCGUUACUCGGAAUUACUGGGCGUAAAGGGCUCGUAGGUGGCCAACUAAGUCAGACGUGAAAUCCCUCAGCUUAACUGGGGAACUGCGUCUGAUACUGGAUGGCUUGAGUUUGGGAGAGGGAUGCGGAAUUCCAGGUGUAGCGGUGAAAUGCGCAGAUAUCAGGAGGAACACCAAUGGCGAAGGCAGCACUCUGGGACGUGACUGACGCUGAGACGCGAAAGCGUGGGGAGCAAAUAGG
rnacentral:rRNA from 1 species